rnacentral:sRNA from 1 species
AGACAUAAUGAUGGCAGGAGCUGGAGCAGCAACCUGAGGACCCAGAGCUCAAAGCCACAUGUUGAGAAGGGCAGAGAUACUGUAUCCACUCUGGACUGCUGACCUUUGAACUAUUAUGUUAUUUCCAGGGAAAUGCAAACCAAAGGACGUGGUCUCUGAUCUAAUCCUUAGAGAAUGUGACCAUGAAGACAGUUUUCCUACCUAGUCAAAAGGGGCAGGAAUUGGAGAGACAUCUACAAAGCUUCCAACACCAUGGCCCUGGGGGUGACCUCCUCGGUACCCUGCCUGCCCCUCCCCAACAUCCUACUCAUGGCCAGUGUCAAAUGGCACCACGGGCAGAACCAGACAUGGAACAGACCAUCCAUAGCCCCCAACAUCUUCCUGAAGAGCUCCACCCUGACCAUCCUGAGACUGUCUUCCACUUCUGGAUCCGACUGGUUCAAAUUCUGCAAAAGGGGCUGUCCAUCACUACCAAAGACCCUAGGAUUCUUGUCACUCACUGCCUGGUACCCAAGAACUGCUGCAGCCCCUCAGGAGAUUCGAAGUUACUACAGAAGAAACUCCAAGCCUCCCAGCCCAGCGAGAGUCUCAUUCAACUAAUGACCAAGGGGGAGAGUGAAGCCCUGUCUCAGAUUUUUGCCGACUUACACCAGCAGAACCAGUUGAGGAACCAGUUGGACCAGCAGUUCAGAGGCAGAACAAAUUCCCUUUCUUUCUGAGCACUGGUAAUAAACUGAAAACCAGUACAGCUUGGAGGAGGCAAGCGCUUAUAGCAGCGAAGAGCUCACAAAGACAUGGGCCCAAGUCAUUGCUCUGACUGCACCCUUGAGCAUAUCGAAACUUGGGGGCUCAGUUUUCAGAUCUGU